UCUUUUUAUUUUUAUUUUUUUAGUUUAUUUAGUCUAAAACAUGUUUUUUUAUAUAAAACAACUCAAGGGAUAUAAUCUAAUAUGAUAAAUAAGAAGAAACAAAAACUAUCUUUAAUUGGUUGCACAUCUUAUUUUUUUCAUCAAAAGUGAAGUAAUCAAGGAUCAAAAUCUACAUGCUAUUGCUAUUAAUUGCUAAAAAUAGUAUUGAGUGAUCACUUGUUAUAGAACUUAAAAGCCUCACAACAUGGAAUGGCAUGGAAUAUGGAGUUCUACGUCAUAUUAAGCUUCAUAUUUUUGCUAGUAAGUUUCAUUCUCAAUAAGCUCAAAAAAAUCAAUAAUCUCUUUUCAAAAAUCCAUCUUU
rnacentral:lncRNA from 1 species